AACAUAGGUGGCGAACGUUAUCCGGAUUUAUUGGGCGUAAAGAGCGUGUAGGCGGCUUUACAGGUCCGUUGUGAAAACUCGAGGCUCAACCUCGAGACGCCGGUGGAAACCGUAAAGCUAGAGUCCGGAAGAGGAGAGUGGAAUUCCUGGUGUAGCGGUGAAAUGCGCAGAUAUCAGGAGGAACACCCGUGGCGAAAGCGGCUCUCUGGUACGUGACUGACGCUGAGACGCGAAAGCGUGGGGAGCAAACAGG
rnacentral:rRNA from 1 species